GUGGCCGUAGCUCAAUGGUAGAGUCCUGGAUUGUGAUUCCAGUUGUUGUGGGUUCGAAUCCCAUCGGCCACCCCA
rnacentral:tRNA from 3 species